CCUACGGGAGGCAGCAGUGGGGAAUAUUGCACAAUGGGGGAAACCCUGAUGCAGCGACGCCGCGUGAGUGAAGAAGUAUUUCGGUAUUUAAAGCUCUAUCAGCAGGGAAGAAAAUGACGGUACCUGAUUAAGAAGCCCCGGCUAACUACGUGCCAGCAGCCGCGGUAAUACGUAGGGGGCAAGCGUUAUCCGGAUUUACUGGGUGUAAGGGGAUCGUAGACGGCAGCACAAGUCUGGAGUGAAAUGCCGGGGCUUAACCCCGGAACUGCUUUGGAAACUGUGCAGCUCGAGUGCAGGAGAGGUAAGUGGAAUUCCUAGUGUAGCGGUGAAAUGCGUAGAUAUUAGGAGGAACACCAGUGGCGAAGGCGGCUUACUGGACUGUAACUGACGUUGAGGCUCGAAAGCGUGGGGAGCAAACAGGAUUAGAUACCCCGGUAGUC
rnacentral:rRNA from 1 species